rnacentral:piRNA from 1 species
UCUGUAAACUGUGGGUCCCAAGA